UCCAAGUUGAUACCCAUAUACGUCAAAGGACUUCCCACUUGUGAGGAUCCAUACCCUGAUGUGAUGACUAAUUUUAUGUGUCAAUUUAGCUGGGUCAUGAUGCCCAGAUAUUUGGCCAAACAUUAUUCUGGAAGUUUCUGUGAAAGUGUUCCUUGGAGGAGAUUAACAUUUAAAUCAGUGGACUUUGAAUAAAGCACGUACCCUUCCAUAAUGUGUUUAGACCUCAUCCAAUUAGUUGAAGACUUUAAUAGAAACACUGACUUCUUCUGAGCAAGAAGGAAUUCUGUCAGCAGAUGGCCUUUGGACUUGAACUGCAACAGUGACUUUCCAGCCUGCCAGUCCACAGGAAGAAUUUGGACUCACCAGCCCCCAUAAUCAUUUACCUGCAGUCAACCACGGUCUGGAAGCAACCUCCUGCAUGUUGACAGAAGGAAACACGAAUUGUGUUUUUCACUGAAAAAUUCUGGCUCACGUAAUUCUUGAUGUCACAACUGAACUCAAAACUCAUUCUUGUUUUGGAAUUUUUUAAAAGCCUGAUUGCAAGUUCUGCAGAAAUCAUAAGAACUCAAAACUUUGUGAUGUUUUGAUGCUGGUUCAACAGAAUCCAAGUUACUUUAGGUCAAUAUAAAGGAAAUGACUUAAACCAAUGAUUAAAUUUGUGUAAAGUCCACUGGAAACAA